UUUUGGUACAAAAGUUCUUGUAACUCCAUAUGUGGUAAAAGUUUUAAUUGAUGUAAAAUAAGCUUUGAAUUUUUAAUAUAAAGUGAUCACAUAAUUGUAUAGUUCUAACUUCUACGAGAGAAAAAAAUAUGGCUGAAUUUCUUCAUAUGACCUAUGUUAUGAUCAUCUUCAUAUUUCUAUUUCUCUCUCUUAUCGACGCCGAAGUUCAUAGAUGUAUUGAAUAUACUGAUUGUCCAGAGGAUAUGUGUCACCUUCCUCUUGUUGUGGUAUGCCAUGAUCAUAUUUGUAAAUGUCUUCGAUUGCCUUAGAAGGUUAGUUUGCUAUUUGAAGAUAUGGAGAAGUACAACGUCACUUUUCUACUUCAAUGAAUCAAAGAAAUACGGUUAUGUAAAAAUAAUCAUUUCUUGUAUGUAUGAAAUUUAUUGUAAGAAUGAUGUGUAUUAUAAAGUGAACCUGUAUUAGUUAGUUUGUAUUUUAAAUAAAAAAGACUAAAGCGUUAAAUCUUAAUAAAUAAGAAACAUUUAUGGUAA